rnacentral:tRNA from 1 species
UGCCGGGGUGGUGGAAUUGGUAGACACCAGGGACUUAAAAUCCCUUGCUGCGCAAGCGGCGUGCGGGUUCGAUGCCCGUCUCCGGCAA